GCCACGCCCAAAGGAUCCCCAUUAAGGUGGGUGAGAUAGUAUAACAAUAUGUUCCCCAAUGUUGUUAUAGUAUCCCACCUACCCUGAUG
rnacentral:pre_miRNA from 1 species